GUGUCAGCAGCCGCGGUAAUACGUAGGGGGCAAACGUUGCUCGGAAUUACUGGGCGUAAAGGGUGAGUAGGCGGCUGUGCAAGUCAGGGAUGAAAUCCCGCGGCUCAACUGCGGAACGGUCCUUGAAACUGCGCGGCUUGAGGACAGUAGAAGAGAAUGGAAUUCCCGGUGGAGCGGUGAAAUGCGUAGAUAUCGGGAGGAACACCUGAGGCGAAAGCGAUUCUCUAUGCUGCUCCUGACGCUGAGUCACGAAAGCCAGGGGAGCAAACGGGAUUAGAAACCCCGGUAGUCC
rnacentral:rRNA from 1 species